CACACAAGCGAACUCAUAUGGUCUAUGAUGAUGACUUUUUAGAUGCAACACUAAAAGCAGGAUCCACUGCUUAGGAAUAACUGAUAAGAUAGACUUCAUUAAAAUUAAAAACUUCUGCUCUGCAAAAGACACUGCCAGGAAAAUGAGAAAACAAACCACAUACUGAAAGAAAAUAUUUGCAGAAGACAGAUCUGAUAAAGGACUGUUCUCUCAAGGCUGUGCAGCAGCAAAGAAGUAUGCGGAUUUGUACGGAUGCCUCAACUUGUAGGUCAAUAAAGGGAGUUUGAAAGAUGAACAAAGGAAGGUGACUGGUGCAGAAAAUGCUAUUAAAUCUGAAGAGUAAGUUUUGUCCAGAGUAACUGAGAAGUGGCCUCAUUCCUGAAAAUUUCUAAGACCGGAAAGCAUUAUACACCAAAGAGAACAACUUUAAAUCUAGCCCACUUUAUUAAACUCCACCAGUGACACACAUUCACGUUUCAAUGUUUAUGCAGCUGCCCUAAAUAAAUACUAAUAUUUGUUAUCUGUGUGCUUUUA